GGGAAUUUGAAUGCUGGUGGAAAACUGUACAGAAAAUCCAGGUGAGUUGAAGGAGAAAGAGAGCAGCGAUCUGCGAGGAAAAUUCAGUCAGAAAAUGGGGACAGGCUCUGUGAAUGCAGGAAACAAACGCAACCAGUUUGGACUCUAGUCCUUGAAGCCUGCGAAAGGCCAGUGACCUAGGACACCAGGAUGGGAGAAAAGCCGAGGGUGAAAAGUUUCUGAGCUGACUAUUAAAUAGAUGUAACUCACAGGCUAGUGUGCCCAUGUGGGAUUUUAAUUACUCAGACAUCUGUUCAGCGAAGUGUACUACUAAAUGGGGAUCAAAUACAGAGAUCAAAUUACGUGGGGAGGAGAGUGGAGAUGAGAACCCAGACUCAGAAAGGAGAGCUGUCGGCCGGGAAAGACCAGUCCCGGCUUUCCAUCUCCCCAACAGAGAAGCGAUUAUUUUAGAUGUGGGGCUGGUUAGCAUCUUAGGUCAUGAAUUUAAUUAAAUAACCCUCGAGUGGCAGAAAACAGAACAAACCACCGUAUUUAACUGUCAGUAAGACAUGCUGCAAAUAAAUGGUCCAGAUUCCUCUUCCUUCCCUCCUCCCACAUUAGAUUUGGUGUAGUUUCUUAAAUUCACAACUCACCUCCCUUUCCCAAUCUAGCCCUUCCUUCCCAGUGGCAUCCAGUAAGCUCAUCUAAGUAGAUGGCUUGGGCCAGAGACAAGAUUUGACUUCUAACGUUUUCAUGAUGAGAUACUUGGGAAGGUGGAGAGGAGGGACGAGGAUUAAGUCACCAUUUGAGUUCCUUUCUUGGGCUCCCUGAAAAUGGCUGAUACUUCAGAGAAAUAUCCUGGAAUCAAAAGACUCCACGGCCCUUUUGUUGGCAGUUAGCACCUUGGAAAGAAAAGAAGCUGAGGGAGGGAGACUCAAAACAAGUGGUUGGAGCAAGCAGAGAAGAGAGGAAGAGGAGGCAUUCAGCUUUUAAAAUGAAUAUUUAGGGGUGCCUGGGUGGCUCAGUCAGUUAAGCAUCUGACUCUUGAUUUCAGCUCCGGUCAAGGUCUCAGGUUCAUGAGAUUGAGCCCCAUAUCGGGCUCUCCCAUCCUCGCUCUCUGCCCCUCCCCUGCUCUCUCUCUCUCUCUCUCUCUCUCUCAAAAUAAAUAAGCUUUUUUUAAAAAAAUGAGUAUUUAAAACCCACCCUUACUCGGCACUGCCCCUUGCAGUCCUCUGCACGGCUCCAUCAGCAGCCCCCUUGCCUGUAGCUGAAGAAAGGGGAUUAUUUUUAGAGCCUUCACCCGAACUCUCCACUCAGCUGUCCUUCCCACCUCCCACCACUUUCUUCAGCGACGCCAUAAUUCUCCACGCAGCCAUCUUAGAGACGCUGGUUUCCUCUAACGUGCAUUUCUUCUGUUUGCAAAUAACAGAAACCAGCUGGAGGGAACCCAAGUAAAAGUGUAAAUUUACUGGAAGGAUACUUAGGAUCUCGUGGAAUCCAGGGAAGAGUGGAACAACCACGCCUUCCUCUGGGAGGGUUGGCCCAGGAAGUCCACUGGUUCCUGCAAAGCACUGCCAUCAGUGACUCAGCUGCCACCUGCCACUCACUGUCUCUCUGUCAAAUCCGAAAUUCCCUGGAGAGUUGGAGACACACACACACACACACACACACACACACACACACACCCGUAUGUUUUCAGUCUUGGGCAGUUUAAUAAACUCUGAAAAUUAUUCAUUCCUUUGAAACCGGCCCUUUUUACUAUCAUUUUAAAGUCCUAAGAAGAGGGGUACCUGGGUGGUUCAGCCGGUGGAGCAUCUGAUUCAGGAUUUCGGCUCAGGCCAUGAUCUCAUCGUUCACGGGAUCAAGCCCCACAUUGGCAGCACGGAGCCUACUUGGGAUUCUCUCUCUCUGCCCCUCCCCUGCUUGUUGUCUCUCUUUCUCUCCCUCUCUCGAAGUAAAUACAGAUGAAAAAAAUAAAUACAUAAAGUCCCAGGAAGAACUAGUUGAGGCAGUGCUAACUUGAGUGACUGGACUACAGCCAGAUUCCGAUGCCCAGUGUGAGUGAAGUGACAGCCAGCAGCCCUGACAGGACAGAGCUCGAAGGGAGUCUAUUCUUGCUCGGGCAGGCUACUUUUAAAGUGUCCUGGCCCAAGUCCCUGGUGCCAGCAUCCAGGAUGGCUCAAGGAACUCUGCAAUAACUAUUUAUUGACCUCCUACUGGGUGCCAGGCAGCCGUGCUAAGUGAUACGCUGGAUACAAAGAUGAGUGGUUCCUGCCUGACCUGAUGGUGCUGAAACCCAGACCUGUAUCUCUUGUGUAAACAGCCAUCUAAAGACUGCUAAGAAUAAUUUACCCCAUGAACAAUGUUUUUUUUUUUAACUCCCUCCUUCCCUCACCCCACUCCCACCCCCAACGGUGGAUGAGAAACCCAAAGAUUUUGCCUAAGCAGUGAGGCCAUCUCAUUGUAAAUGAGGUUAAGAUUUCACUGCUCAUGUUCAGAGCCUCCAUUGGGCUAAAUCCUAUGAGAACUGAGGUGACUUUACAGGUGAGCACAGCCACGUGUCCUGUAUUUGUAUGAUGGGAUUCGGAGGGUAUGAUGUCGGGCGGGUGUGGAAUUACUUUGGGAAAUAGAGGACUGAUGUUUUCUUCCCCAUCUGAGUAGAAGCUUCUGAUUAGCAGGAGCUGUUGAGGCCAAAGAGAAGCUAACCGUGGUUGUCUGUGCCAAGCGUCUGAAACGUUGGUUUGGGUUUAGACCUGAGAAAAUUGGAUGUUCUGCUUUGGUUCGAUUCCAGUUUAAACCAGUUGCCUGAGUGUUCUUCAAUUUGGUGGGGGGAGGGGGUUCAACUUAAGGUGUUAAUUUUAAGAUUCAGCAAAUUAUUAAGGCUCAUUCUGGUUGCGGGUUGAGGAUUUAACUCGGUCGUAUUUGUGGUAAGGACAUGAAAGGUCUGACCGGAAAAUGGCGGCAGCUGGAGAAGGGAGGCCCUUGGCCUUGAAGAGGGAGCAAUAUAUAGGUGGAACACUAGAGUCCGUUAUAGUUCAUCCCUUGUGCUGUUCAGAUCCAGUUGCUUCUUUUUUCUUUUUUAUUGUUGACCCACAGUGUUACAUUAGUUUCAGGUGUACAACAUAGUGAUUCGAUCCCUGUAUAUAUUAUGCUGUGCUCACCAUACCCCGUGAUUACAAUACCAUUGCUACUACCUGUCACCAUACCCCGCGAUUACAAUACCAUUGCUACUACCUGUCACCAUACCCCGCGAUUACAAUACCAUUGGCUAUAUUCCGUAUGCCCUGCCAUUCGUCCCUGUGACUUCUUCAUGCCAUGACUGGAAGCCUGUAUCUCCCACUCCCCUUCACCCAUUUUGCCCAUCCCCUCACCCUUCUCCCUUCUGGAGGCCAUCAGUUUGUUCUCUGCAUUUAUAGGUCUGUUUCUGCUUCCUGUAUGUUGCUUUGUUCAUUUGUUUUUUAGAUUCCACAUGUAAGUGAAAUUGUAUGGUAUUUGUCUUUCUCUGACUUACUUCAUUUGUCGUAAUACUCUACAGGGGGACCUGUAGGUUAAGCAUCAGUCAGUUAAGCAUCCAACUCUUAAUCUCAGCCCAGGUCUUGAUCUCAGGGUUGUGAACUCAAACUCUGCCUUGAGCUCCACACUGGUCAUGGAGCCCACCUUUAAAAAAAAAAAAAAAAGCAUAAUACUCUCUAGGUCCAUCCAUGUUGUCGUAAUUGGCAAGACUUCAUUCUUUUUAAGUUUAAAAAAAUUUUUUUAAAGUUUAUUUCAAAAGAGACAGGGGAAGAGGCAGAGAGAGACAGAGAGACAGAGAGAGAGGGAGGGAGGAAGAGAACCCCAGGCAUGCUCUACACUGACAGCAGAGAGCCGAAUGUGGGACUUGAACUCAUGAGCCAUGAGAUCAUGACUUGAGCCAAAAAUGCUUAACUGACUGAGCCACUCAGGUGCCCCAAGACUUCAUUCUUUUUCAUGACCAAAUAAUAUUCCAGUGUGUGUGUGUGUGUGUACGUACACAAUACCAUAUCUUUACCCAUUCAUAUACUGAUGGACACUUGGGCUGAUUCCAUAUCUUGGCUGUUGUAAAUAAUGUUGNNNNNNNNNNNNNNNNUUUAAAGUUUAUUUCAAAAGAGACAGGGGAAGAGGCAGAGAGAGACAGAGAGACAGAGAGAGAGGGAGGGAGGAAGAGAACCCCAGGCAUGCUCUACACUGACAGCAGAGAGCCGAAUGUGGGACUUGAACUCAUGAGCCAUGAGAUCAUGACUUGAGCCAAAAAUGCUUAACUGACUGAGCCACUCAGGUGCCCCAAGACUUCAUUCUUUUUCGUGACCAAAUAAUAUUCCAGUGUGUGUGUGUGUGUGUGUGUGUGUGUGUGUGUACGUACACAAUACCAUAUCUUUACCCAUUCAUAUACUGAUGGACACUUGGGCUGAUUCCAUAUCUUGGCUGUUGUAAAUAAUGUUGUUAUAAACAUGGGAUGCAUAUAUCUUUUCAAAUUAGUGUUCUCAUUUUCUUUGGGUAAAUACCUAGUGGAAUUACUGGAUCAUAUGGUAAUUCUAUUUUUCAUUUUUUGAUCAUGCUCUGUACCAUUUUCCACAGUGGCUGCACCAGUUUAUGUUCCCACCACAGUUCACGAGGGUUACUUUUCUCCACAUCCUCACCAGUAUUUGUUAUUUUUUUGUCUUCUUGCUUCUGCUCAUUCUGACAGACAUAAGGUGGCAUCUCAUUGUGGUUUUGAUUUGUAUUUCCCUGAUGAUGAAUGAUGCUGAGUAUCUUUUCAUGUGCCACCAACUGCUUCUUAGAGCAAGUCCACCCACCUAAUAACCAGGAUUAUAACCCAACUCCAAGGAUUCUGGUUGGCCUGUAUUGCUGGGGAAGCUUAUAAAAAGGUUUGUGGGGAAACUACAGUUGCUACAGCGGCAGCGGGUCUCAAGCCUCCACUAAUCGAUACUUUAUCUCCUUCUCCACCGCCCGUUCUAGAUUUGCCUCAGCCAGGGCCCAUGCUGGUCCAGGCAUAUUGCCUGAGUGACCCAGACCCUCAUCUCCCAGUGGCUUCGGACCUGGUCACUAUGCCCAUCUUAGAUCAUGGCCUCUGUUCUUGUCUGUUUACUGUUAAAACUGGGCACAGGAGCCUCGGGAGACUGCACUGGGUCAUUUGUGUGCCAAACAUUCUUCCCUCUCUGCAUUCUGUGAGAGAGCUCCACUUCUGCUGAUGAUCACGACCAAUGAUCCGUGCUAGUGUAGUGAUUCCUUUCCUGCUGGUUUCUUGGCAUAAGGAGACUGAAGCGCUUUGAGCAGUAGCUGUAUUGUAAAGUACAGUGGGACUCUGUGUCCACGAUGAAGUAUUACCCCUCUGGGAACAAGACCUUUUGUCCCACAGAGCCUAAGAUUUGGGGGACAGAAAGCACAAACUUUCCAAGGGUACCACUGGGAAUGCCACCUACUUUUCCCCAUAGUUCCUGGACCCAGUCCACCUAUUGGGAACUACAUAAUGGUUAUUGAUUUAGGGUGGCAUCUCAACUUCAAGAUGUAUCAUCUCCAAACUGGUGCCUCCCCUGUCUUUAGGAGGCCAUUCCACCAUUCUGUAAUGCCAGUGGCUUAACAGUGAUGCAGUAUGGGACUAGACUAGUGUACUCUUUGGCCCAAGGCAGUAUUGUAUGGGAUCUUGUGUCAGUAAAUCAAACAUUCUUAAUUCCCAGUUGGUGAUGUUGGCUGGGUCCUGUGGAGAGGAAAGGAAAACUCAGAAUAUAUAAUAACCCUAGUCAAGAUGAAUUCCUGCUUCCUCCAGGGUAGAACAGGUCCAUCAUAGUCAGUUUACCUCCAAAUGGUUGGUUGGUCACCUUGAGGGAUUGUGCUGUAUUGGGGAGUCAGCACUCGUUUCUGCAGUUGACAGGUUGGACAUUUGUUAGUAGCAGUGGCCGGACCAAGGCCCGGUGAGCCAAAGCCCUGUUCGUAGCCACCACCCCCACCACGAUGACUGCUCCACUGAAGUAUCCGUUGUGCCAGAAAUACAGCAGCUGAUUAGAGAGACUGGCAGAUGGCCAUGGCUGACUCACGGAUGUUGUUUGAUGUCUUUCUGAUAGUGGCACUUUGCUAUGCACGAACAUGGGACACAGAAUUCUUCAAACCUGGGUCCACACGUUAUCCAUGAUAUUCUAAUAUUUCUCCUUCCAAGCCUCUGACCGAAUUGCCACCCCACCUACCACUGUCUAUGAGCCUGUGUAUGUUCUUACCUCGAACUAUUCUUGUUUCAAAGCGGACAACCGAGUGCCUCGCCAGAAAUUUCUCCUCACCGCUCUCUUUCAGGGUCACCCCAAGUAGAGUUGCAGUGUGACAGUAGCUCUUCUUGGCUUGCACUCUUACGCCGAGCCAGCUCAUCCAGGAACGAAGGUUGGCCUUUCUCCUCUUCCGUCAGCUGGCCAUAACAGACACCCCCAUGCAGCCGUAGUCGUGAGCUAGUUGUGACCCCGUAGCCGUGAAUGCCGGAGCAGUAGUGGUGGACGACGCGGAGUUGUGGGCCAACAACUGGAAAAGCCUACAUGUGCCCUCUGGCCCUCCUGCUCAUGCGUGGCCCUGCGUCUUCCACUCCCACUCUAUGACGGAUUCUUGCUGCUGGGCCUGGCAGAACCCAGCUCAUGAUGAUCUCUGCUUGCAGAGUUACUUGAUGUCCCGUGGUCAUUUGGUCUGUCUCAAUCAGGGCCAUUCAUCUAGAAGAACUUCUUUUCAAAUGCUGUAAAGUUCUUUGCUACAGAGGAUGUGUCCUUGCUCCAAAGUCCCGGGAGCCUAUGCUGCACUUCUUCUGGGAUUACCAGUAACCGUGCACACUUUCCCACCACAGGUCCCUCUAAUACCACGGGGCCUGCUGAGUGAUGGGGCAGGUCUCCUUGCACCGGG
rnacentral:lncRNA from 1 species